rnacentral:rRNA from 1 species
AUUGAACGCUGGCGGCAUGCUUUACACAUGCAAGUCGAACGGCAGCGCGGGCUUCGGCCUGGCGGCGAGUGGCGAACGGGUGAGUAAUACAUCGGAACGUGCCCAGUAGUGGGGGAUAGCUCGGCGAAAGCGGGAUUAAUACCGCAUACGACCUGAGGGUGAAAGCGGGGGAUCUUCGGACCUCGCGCUAUUGGAGGGGCCGAUGGCAGAUUAGCUAGUUGGUGGGGUAAAGGCCUACCAAGGCGACGAUCUGUAGCUGGUCUGAGAGGACGACCAGCCACACUGGAACUGAGACACGGCCCAGACUCCUACGGGAGGCAGCAGUGGGGAAUAUUGGACAAUGGGCGAAAGCCUGAUCCAGCAAUGCCGCGUGUGUGAUGAAGGCCUUCGGGUUGUAAAGCACUUUUGGCGGGAACGAAAAGGACUGUGCCAAUACCACGGUUCGAUGACGGUACCCGCAGAAUAAGCACCGGCUAACUACGUG